GAUUAACGCUAGCGGCAGGCCUAAUACAUGCAAGUCGAACGGCAGCACGGGUAGCAAUACCUGGUGGCGAGUGGCGCACGGGUGCGUAACGCGUAUGCAAUCUACCUAUAACUGGGGAAUAGCCUUCCGAAAGGAAGAUUAAUACCGCAUAAUAUCACGAAACGGCAUCGUUUUGUGAUCAAAACUCCGGUGGUUAUAGAUGAGCAUGCGUGACAUUAGCUAGUUGGUGAGGUAACGGCCCACCAAGGCUACGAUGUCUAGGGGGUCUGAGAGGAUGAUCCCCCCACACUGGUACUGAGACACGGACCAGACUCCUACGGGUGGCAG
rnacentral:rRNA from 1 species